AUGUGGGAGCACCCAAGGGAGUUCAGGCCGGAGAGGUUUGAGGAUGGAAAGGCUGAACGGCUGUUCAUGAUACCCUUCGGAAUGGGGAGGCGGAAGUGCCCCGGAGAGGCAAUGGCUUUACGGACGAUAGGGCAGGUUCUUGGGGCACUUAUAUAG
rnacentral:rRNA from 1 species